GAUGAACGCUGGCGGCGUGCCUAAUACAUGCAAGUCGAGCGAACGGACGAGAAGCUUGCUUCUCUGAUGUUAGCGGCGGACGGGUGAGUAACACGUGGAUAACCUACCUAUAAGACUGGGAUAACUUCGGGAAACCGGAGCUAAUACCGUAUGAUAUUUUGAACCGCAUGGUUCAAAAGUGAAAGACGGUCUUGCUGUCACUUAUAGAUGGAUCCGCGCUGCAUUAGCUUGUUGGUAAGGUAACGGCUUACCAAAGCAACGAUGCAUAGCCGACCUGUGAGAGUGGUCGGCCGCACUGGAAGUGAGGCACGGUCUAGACGCCGACGAGAGGCAGCAGUAGGGAAUCUGCCGCAAUGGGCGAAAGACUGACGGAGCAACGCCGCGUGAGUGAUAGAGGUAUUCGGAGCGUAGAACUCUGUUAUUGGGGAAGAACAUAUGUUGAUGUAGCUGUGCACAUAUUGACGGUACCUAAGCAGAAAGCUACGGCUAACUACGUG
rnacentral:rRNA from 1 species